rnacentral:lncRNA from 1 species
AGCGGGGCUGGGCGGGGCUCGGGGAUCCCUGGCACCUCGCGGAUGGCUGCGCGGCGGGAGGGAAGGAAGUAGCCGUCCGUCCGCGCCUUUGUCCCACGGGCCCUGGUGGCUUCCUGACCCUCUUGGGGCACAGAGCCCACUGGAAAUCCUGUCUCUUCUGCCUGAGCGCAGCGGCCGCUUCCCCUCUCUUGAUCUUGGCAGUACCUGGUUAGGAGGCCUGAGACGCUUUGCCAGACUUGGGGCUGGGCUGAGCGUUUAAACCAAGUCGGGGCUCUGGGGACUGAUCUGAGGGGCACAGCCCCGCCCACGUGCCUGUCAGGCCACCGGGGGACGGGGGCAGGCGCUCCGUGCCACCAGUGUCCAAGUGCAGCUACCAGGUAGAGACGAGUGCCUGUCUUGACCUCGUCGUGACCUGCGGCUGUGUCACCCUGGGGGGGUCCCAGCCCCCUGAGCGUCCCGUGGGGAGCCAGGAUUGGCCUCAGACCGGCCUGGCCCUGACUGGCCAACGAACUGUCCUGCAGGCCAGCGGAGCCUGCACCACCGCGGAGAUGCCCUGGAGACGCUGGUCCUCCUGAACCCGUCAGACAAGUCCCUGUGUGAUGAGGGGCUCUCCGGCCAGAGGAGGAGCACAGCCAGCCCCAGAUGGCAGGCGACAGCUCCGGAACCUUCUGCUGGUCCCUGCCCCUCAUAAGCUGCUGGUGCUGGCCGGGCCCUGCCUGGAGGAGACCGGGGAGCUGCUGCUGCAGACGGGUGGCUUCUCGUUCCACCACUUUCUGCAGGUCCUGGACGAGAGGGAGGUGAGCUGCCCACCCCCAGCGCAGUGCUGCCGCCCUCCGUGGCCCGGGUCAGGGACCAGUGCCACUUUCCAGGGAGGGGCGUGUACGGCAGGUUUGGUGGCUGCACUGUCACCCCAGCAGUCUGGGAGAAGGGGCAGGAGCCCUGCCCGGGCAAACGAGCAGAGUAGUGAGCAGAGAGCCUGGCUCAUAGUAACAAAAAAGGCAGAGGAUGUGGCUCCUAGGGUAGGCUGGGUUCAGUCCUCAAACAAACAGCUGCAGAUAAAUAAACGGCUUCCACAGUGGGAGGCUGGUGGUGCGGCCACCACCCUGCGCCUCAGCAGGCGUCUCUGAGGCCAGAAGGGGGGCCCAGGUUCCAGCUCCCAGAUGAGAUGGAGCCGCGUGGCGUGGGGCACAUGGAUGAAGAAAGCAGGACUGGGUCAGGGUCCUGGAGGGUGUGGUCAGACAGAAGAGCAAGCUCAAAGGCCCUGGGGCCAGGAGAGGAUGCCAGGGCCCAAGGGUGGUCCCGGGCAGGCCUGGGCUGUGCCCAGAGAGGAGCAGGAAGGGGUGUUCUGGCUGGGCUUUCCGGCUCCAGAAGCCCUUUCCUGCUCCGCGCCGCAGAUCCAGGACCUGUUGGGCCACACC